UACGGGGGGGCGGAAGCGUUGUUCGGUAAUUACUGGGCGUAAAGGGCUCGUAGGCGGCCAACUAAGUCAGACGUGAAAUCCCUCGGCUUAACCGGGGAACUGCGUCUGAUACUGGAUGGCUUGAGUUUGGGAGAGGGAUGCGGAAUUCCAGGUGUAGCGGUGAAAUGCGUAGAUAUCUGGAGGAACACCGGUGGCGAAGGCGGCAUCCUGGACCAACACUGACGCUGAGUGAGCGAAAGCCAGGGGAGCAAACGGGG
rnacentral:rRNA from 1 species